UUAAGGGGUGCUCGUCUAUUGGCGGGCUGAGAUUAGACCCUCAAACCUGACCAGGGUAAUGCCUGCGUAGGAAUUUCCUUAUCU
rnacentral:ncRNA from 1 species